UGCUUUAGCUCUUAUGGUUUAUUUUCAACUACUUAAAAAUUGUGUUUUUCUUUUAAGUUUUGAAUAAAUGCCAAAUGUCAUAUAGCAAAUACAUAGAGAGAAGGAAGUAAAUAGGAGUUAUGCCCAGAAAUGAGUAUGUUUCUUCUUCCAGUGUGAAGGGUUGAGUCAAUCUUGGUGCUUGGACUAAGUGGGUUCUGUUGUUUCUAUGGUUACCACCUCCGACUCACAGGCUUCACAUUCUCAGAGUGGGUUGCUGUUGCUGUCCUCUGCAUCCUGGGGUCCUCCACCGGACAGAAGAUUUCUCCUUGUGAGCACGCAGUAGGGGUGCAGAGAAGACUGUGAGCUCCCCAUGUGUCUAGGGCCCCAGUUCUGAAAUGAUGUGCCGGAUGAUGUCAACUGCUACCUGGAACAGAAUGACCUGGAGGAAUAAAGAGCUGAGCAAUGGGCCGUUGCCCUUAACAACCUGCUGACUGUCACUCACACUUCUGUAAAACCUCACUUGCUUGCCUGCCCCACCUUGUGGUUUUAGAGAGGACACACUGGACCUGGUACCAAAGCCUUUCAGGAGCUGUCUUGGCUUUGGUCCAUGGGUGACAUCUCUUCUCUUCCGCUCUGACUGGUGUCAGAGUGCUUAUUCCAGAAAGAUCUGCAACAGUAGCCUCUCUGGCAGCUCAGUGUGGCCAAACAACCAUUCACUAGUCAACAGAAUGUGACUCUAGGUGCCUUUUCAAAAGAAAAUGGAAUGUGCUCUUUUUUCCUUUCUUUAUCUUUCAGCCAAAAACAAAACCUUAGUCAUUAGCUACCUCAAUUAUACAGAUUGGCAACACAUGCUAUGUUAGGGGUAAGGAUACACUAGAAAAACCUGGGUCCUAACACCGAGAAACUGAUGUAUUAACCCUGGAAGAAGUCAUUGUUGCUUUGGAUUUUUGUUACAACUUUAUUCUAGUGCAACCAGGAGGCAGCAGGAAGAUGAUCCAGUCAAGCGUCUCUGCAAACAACAGAAACUCAAUCCAGAAUGGUCCAACCAAUAGGGAAGCUUGUGCCUCUUGAAACCAGGAAGUCUGGAGUGGGCAGGCUUCAGGGGUGACCUAAUGCAUGGCGCAGGCUACCUUUAGAAUUCCCGUGAUUCUUGUCACAGUUCUUUUAUUGGCUUCAUCAACAAAUAAAAGAACAGAAAGAAUAAUUCUUGUAUUUGCCGAGUCAGCAAGACGCUGCCAGUAGCUCCCGAAACUACAUGAAUUUUUCUUAGCAUCAGUGGAGACAAAAAACAAACUUGUUCAUUAACUAUUGAGUAAAGGAAUUGAGUUACACUUUGAUUUUAGAUCAGGCUAACUUCUAUCUGAAUUAAUUAUCAAUACCCAGAUCACAGAUUGUACCUACUGCCUUGUCAUUGUGAAGGGGUGGUGCCACCCUGAGUAGCUUAAGCCAAUCAAUAUCUGUGGGACUGGUGGGAAUAAUUAGGCUAGCCAAGGUUCUUGGCUGCUCCUCAGUGGCAAAGAAAUGCCAGGAAGCACCAAGUCAGUGUCCUCUACUAAAGACGAGCA